UGCCUAUACAUGCAGUCGAACGAACUCUGGUAUUGAUUGGUGCUUGCAUCAUGAUUUACAUUUGAGUGAGUGGCGAACUGGUGAGUAACACGUGGGAAACCUGCCCAGAAGCGGGGGAUAACACCUGGAAACAGAUGCUAAUACCGCAUAACAACUUGGACCGCAUGGUCCGAGUUUGAAAGAUGGCUUCGGCUAUCACUUUUGGAUGGUCCCGCGGCGUAUUAGCUAGAUGGUGAGGUAACGGCUCACCAUGGCAAUGAUACGUAGCCGACCUGAGAGGGUAAUCGGCCACAUUGGGACUGAGACACGGCCCAAACUCCUACGGGAGGCAGCAGUAGGGAAUCUUCCACAAUGGACGAAAGUCUGAUGGAGCAACGCCGCGUGAGUGAAGAAGGGUUUCGGCUCGUAAAACUCUGUUGUUAAAGAAGAACAUAUCUGAGAGUAACUGUUCAGGUAUUGACGGUAUUUAACCAGAAAGCCACGGCUAACUACGUGCCAGCAGCCGCGGUAAUACGUAGGUGGCAAGCGUUGUCCGGAUUUAUUGGGCGUAAAGCGAGCGCAGGCGGUUUUUUAAGUCUGAUGUGAAAGCCUUCGGCUCAACCGAAGAAGUGCAUCGGAAACUGGGAAACUUGAGUGCAGAAGAGGACAGUGGAACUCCAUGUGUAGCGGUGAAAUGCGUAGAUAUAUGGAAGAACACCAGUGGCGAAGGCGGCUGUCUGGUCUGUAACUGACGCUGAGGCUCGAAAGUAUGGGUAGCAAACAGGAUUAGAUACCCUGGUAGUCCAUACCGUAAACGAUGAAUGCUAAGUGUUGGAGGGUUUCCGCCCUUCAGUGCUGCAGCUAACGCAUUAAGCAUUCCGCCUGGGGAGUACGGCCGCAAGGCUGAAACUCAAAGGAAUUGACGGGGGCCCGCACAAGCGGUGGAGCAUGUGGUUUAAUUCGAAGCUACGCGAAGAACCUUACCAGGUCUUGACAUACUAUGCAAAUCUAAGAGAUUAGACGUUCCCUUCGGGGACAUGGAUACAGGUGGUGCAUGGUUGUCGUCAGCUCGUGUCGUGAGAUGUUUGGGUUAAGUCCCGCAACGAGCGCAACCCUUAUUAUCAGUUGCCAGCAUUAAGUUGGGCACUCUUGGGGAGACUGCCGGUGACAAACCCGAGGAAAGGGGGGGGAUUAACGUCAAAUCAUCAUGGCCCCUUAUGACCUGGGGUACACACCG
rnacentral:rRNA from 2 species